GACACGAUGGCCGAGUGGUCUAAGGCGGUAGAUUUAAGCAAUUCGGAAGCUUGCAGUGCAUUUUUCAAUUUGUUCAGAUCUCUACUACAGAAAUGUGCGUGGGUUCGAACCCCACUCGUGUCA